rnacentral:rRNA from 1 species
UACGGAGGGGGCUAGCGUUGUUCGGAAUUACUGGGCGUAAAGCGCACGUAGGCGGCUUUGUAAGUUAGAGGUGAAAGCCCGGAGCUCAACUCCGGAACUGCCUUUAAGACUGCAUCGCUUGAACGUCGGAGAGGUAAGUGGAAUUCCGAGUGUAGAGGUGAAAUUCGUAGAUAUUCGGAAGAACACCAGUGGCGAAGGCGACUUACUGGACGACUGUUGACGCUGAGGUGCGAAAGCGUGGGGGGCAAACAGG